UUUUUUUACCAGCAUGGAAAACAGAUACAAAGAGCUUUUGCAGUUUCUAGAGAACACUCCAGAAACCAUGGUAACGCCCAUGCCAAACGGUGGCACCGAGUUCUGGGUCGAGACUAAGCCUGGAAAGAAGGUGUUUCUUGACAGAGGAAAGGGAGAGGAGGAACUGACAGUUGAGGAGGCCAAGGUGUGGCUUAAACAGCAGCUUCAGGGAAAGUGAGAAGUGUGUUGGUUCCAAUGGAGGGAGUAAAUAGGCCAAUUAAUUAUUUAUUAUGUAU
rnacentral:misc_RNA from 1 species